UUCCUACGGGAGGCAGCAGUGGGGAAUAUUGCACAAUGGGCGCAAGCCUGAUGCAGCCAUGCCGCGUGUAUGAAGAAGGCCUUCGGGUUGUAAAGUACUUUCAGCGGGGAGGAAGGUGUUGUGGUUAAUAACCACAGCAAUUGACGUUACCCGCAGAAGAAGCACCGGCUAACUCCGUGCCAGCAGCCGCGGUAAUACGGAGGGUGCAAGCGUUAAUCGGAAUUACUGGGCGUAAAGCGCACGCAGGCGGUCUGUUAAGUCAGAUGUGAAAUCCCCGGGCUCAGCCUGGGAACUGCAUUUGAAACUGGCAGGCUUGAGUCUUGUAGAGGGGGGUAGAAUUCCAGGUGUAGCGGUGAAAUGCGUAGAGAUCUGGAGGAAUACCGGUGGCGAAGGCGGCCCCCUGGACAAAGACUGACGCUCAGGUGCGAAAGCGUGGGGAGCAAACAGGAUUAGAUACCCGAGUAGUC
rnacentral:rRNA from 1 species